rnacentral:rRNA from 1 species
GUAGCCGUAGGGAACCUGCGGCUGGAUCACCUCCU